rnacentral:rRNA from 1 species
GACGAACGCUGGCGGCGUGCCUAACACAUGCAAGUCGAGCGGGGAUUUAAGUGGAAGUUCUUCGGAAUGGAGAUUUAAAUUCUAGCGGCGGACGGGUGAGUAACGCGUGAACAAUCUGUCCCGGACAGGGGGAUAACACUUGGAAACAGGUGCUAAUACCGCAUAAGACCACGGCCUCGCAUGGGGCUGAGGUAAAAGGAGCAAUCCGGUUCGGGGUGAGUUCGCGUCCGAUUAGCUAGUUGGUGAGGUAACGGCCCACCAAGGCGACGAUCGGUAGCCGGCCUGAGAGGGUGAACGGCCACAUUGGAACUGAGAGACGGUCCAAACGCCUACGGGAGGCAGCAGUGGGGAAUAUUGGGCAAUGGGCGAAAGCCUGACCCAGCAACGCCGCGUGAGGGAAGAAGGUUUUCGGAGUGUAAACCUCUGUCCUAUGGGACGAAGGAAGUGACGGUACCAUAGGAGGAAGCCCCGGCUAACUACGUG